rnacentral:rRNA from 1 species
UCCCAGUUCGGAUCGCAGGCUGCAACCCGCCUGCGUGAAGUCGGAAUCGCUAGUAAUCGCGGAUCAGCAUGCCGCGGUGAAUACGUUCCCGGGCCUUGUACACACCGCCCGUCACACCAUGAGAGUCGGGAACACCCGAAGUCCGUAGCCUAACCGCAAGGGGGCGCGGCCGAAGGUGGGUUCGAUAAUUGGGGUGAAGUCGUAACAAGGUACC